UGCCAGCCGCCGCGGUAAUACGGAGGGAGCGAGCGUUAAUCGGAAUUACUGGGCGUAAAGCGCGCGUAGGCGGCUUGGUCAGUCGAAUGUGAAAGCCCCGGGCUUAACCUGGGAAUUGCACUCGAUACUGCUUGGCUAGAGUAUGGGAGAGGGAAGUGGAAUUUCCGGUGUAGCGGUGAAAUUCGUAGAUAUUGGGAAGAACACCAGUGGCGAAGGCGGCUAACUGGCUCGGUACUGACGCUGAGACGCGCAAGCGUGGUGAGCAAACAGGAUUAGAUA
rnacentral:rRNA from 1 species